rnacentral:lncRNA from 1 species
UUUCAGGGGAAGGAAACAAAUCCCUAGAUGGGCGUCUGACUCUCCUUCUAGUAUUUUUCUUGCUCCUAGUAUGUUUGGGCUCCUGCUGCAUGCACAAGAAACACAAACCCUAGUAGCACUUUUUUAUAUAAAAGAAAAAAAAUAAAAAGAUAAAAAGAUAAAAAGAUAAAAAGAUAAAAAGAUAUAUACAAUCAAGUCAAACUUAAUCAGUUUACACAACUAAAUAAGUUAAACCAUGAGUCCCCGGCAACGACGCCAAAAACUUGUUAAGU